AGUGGAUGGGGAGCAACCUAGUUGUGCGUGUGUAAAGGUAGUGCCAAGAAAAGCGAUGAUCAUGUUGAAAAUCAAUUCCCGGUACCCGAAACCGACACAGGUGGGCAAGUAGAGAAUACUAAGGGGCGCGAGGUAACUCUCUCCAAGGAACUCGGCAAAAUGACCCCGUAACUUAGGGAGAAGGGGUGCCACCGAGAGGUGGUCGCAGUGAAGAGGCCCAGGCGACUGUUUAGCAAAAACAUAGGUCUCUGCAAACUCGAAAGAGGAGGUAUAGGGGCUGACGCCUGCCCAGUGCCGGAAGGUUAAAGAAGUUGGUCAGUUUUAGGAUGAAGCUAGCGACUGAAGCCCCGGUGAACGGCGGCCGUAACUAUAACGGUCCUAAGGUAGCGAAAUUCCUUGUCGGGUAAGUUCCGACCCGCACGAAAGGCGUAACGAUCUGGGCGCUGUCUCGGAGAGAGGCUCGGCGAAAUAGGAUUGUCUGUGAAGAUACGGACUACCUGCAUUUGGACAGAAAGACCCUAUGAAGCUUUACUAUAGCUUGGAAUUGUGUUCGGGCUUCCUGUGCGCAGGAUAGGUGGGAGGCGUAGAAGGUAUUCUUGUGGGGAUACUGGAGCCAACGGUGAGAUACCACUCUCAGGAGGCUAGAAUUCUAACUUAAUUAAGGACAGUUUCAGGUGGGUAGUUUGACUGGGGCGGUCGCCUCCAAAAAGGUAACGGAGGCGUACAAAGGUUCCCUCAGACUGGUUGGAAAUCAGUCGAAGAGUGCAAAGGCAGAAGGGAGCUUGACUGCGAGAAGUACAGUUCGAGCAGGGUGGAAACACGGUCUUAGUGAUCCGACGGUGCUGUGUGGAAGGGCCGUCGCUCAACGGAUAAAAGUUACUCUAGGAUAACAGGCUGAUCUCCCCCAAGAGUUCACAUCGACGGGGAGGUUUGGCACCUCGAUGUCGGCUCAUCGCAACCUGGGGCGGAAGUACGUCCCAAGGGUUGGGCUGUUCGCCCAUUAAAGCGGUACGUGAGCUGGGCUCAGAACGUCGUGAGACAGUUCGGUCCAUAUCCGAUGUAGGCGUGAGAAUAUUGAGAGGAGCCUUCCUUAGUACGAGAGGACCGGGAAGGACGCACCGCUGGUGUACCUGUUAUGAUGCCAAUUGUAAACGCAGGGUAGCCAAGUGCGGAGAGGAUAACCGCUGAAAGCAUCUAAGUGGGAAGCCCACCUCAAGAUGAGUAUUCUGGUGUAAGGUCACGGGAAGACGACCCGUAAAUAGGCACGAGGUGGAAGUGCAGAGAUGUAUGAAGCCGAAGUGUACUAAUAGACCGUCGGCUUGAUC
rnacentral:rRNA from 1 species